GGUAAACCCCACUUGGAGCAAGACCAGACAGAUAGCGUUUGAGAACUGCUCGUUCGAGCUAUCGGGUAGGUCGCUUGAUUACGUAAGCAAUUACGUAACUAGAUGGAUGGUGAUCCGUUCGCAAGAACGACAGGAUCCGGCUUAUAGGGCGACUCUUCUU
rnacentral:RNase_P_RNA from 1 species